rnacentral:tRNA from 1 species
GCAGCUGUAGUUUAACUGGAAAAACUUCAAACUUUUAAUUUGAACAAUGUGGAUUCGACUUCCACCGGCUGCA